AAUUCCAUUUGCAUGUAACCAGUCCAUAGCGCGAGCAAUAUCAAGUGCAUAAUUAACUACUACACGAAGAUCUAGUUGUUUGGGCCGAAUACUGCUCAGAUAAUUUUUCAGUGACAUUCCUGGCAGUAGCUCUGUCACAAUCACCAUGAAAGGGUCUUUGCAAGCUCCAAUGAACUUGACAAGGUUUUCAUGGUUCACUCUAGACAUCAUGUUUACUUCCCUAAUGAACCGG
rnacentral:misc_RNA from 1 species